rnacentral:rRNA from 1 species
UACGGGGGGGUGCGAGCGUUGUCCGGAAUCACUGGGCGUAAAGGGCGCGUAGGUGGUUUGAUAAGGGUGUGGUGAAAGUCCGGAGCUCAACUCCGGAUCUGCCGUGCCGACUGUCAAACUCGAGGGCUGUAGAGGCAGACGGAAUUCCGGGUGUAGCGGUGGAAUGCGUAGAGAUCCGGAGGAAGACCGGUGGCGAAGGCGGUCUGCUGGGCGAGUUUCUGACACUGAGGCGCGACAGCGUGGGGAGCAAACAGG